AUGGUUGUUCUGAAUUCUUUGCCACCAUCAUGGGAACAGUUUAAGAUUUCUUUUUGUCAUUCAGAACGCACACUCAAUAUGAGGAACCUGAGGCAACACUUGCUAAUGGAGGAGGAUCGCAGGCUUAACUCAGGGAAAGAUAAAGCUUCUUAUCAGCUAGAGCUUCACCUUGGUGAGUACAAAAACAAUGGGAACCGGAGGAAUUGGAAUAAGAGAGGAGGAGGACCGGACCUAAGGGACAAGAUCAAUUAUAAAUGUGACAGGGAUCAAAGGAACUACAGAGAUGAGAGGAGGGACAGGGGGCAACAUGGAAAUAACAACAACAACAACUCUUUUCAGAAGAUUGACAAGAGGAACUACAAGUGCCAUAAUUGUGGUAAUACAGGCCACUUCAGGUCAGAAUGCACCAAGAGGAGGAAGAUGAACAACGAAAGGGAUAAUUUUCACAAGGAUGAUAGCCGCAAGGGGAAUCAAUCCCCUGAAGCUGUAGGGGUUUACUGA
rnacentral:rRNA from 1 species